rnacentral:rRNA from 1 species
UGGGGAAUAUUGCACAAUGGAGGGAACUCUGAUGCAGCGACGCCGCGUGAGUGAUGAAGGAAUUCGUUUCGUAAAACUCUGUUCUAUGGGAAGAAAAGGACUGUACCAUAGGAGAAAGCUCCGGCUAAAUACGUGCCAGCAGCCGCGGCAAUACGUAUGGAGCGAGCGUUGUCCGGAAUUAUUGGGCGUAAAGGGUGCGCAGGCGGCUUUACAAGUUGGAUGUGAAAUAUUGUGGCUCAACCACAAACGUGCAUCCAAAACUGCAAAGCUUGAGUUGAGGAGAGGUAAGUGGAAUUCCUGGUGUAGCGGUGGAAUGCGUAGAUAUCAGGAGGAAUACCGGUGGCGGAAGCGACUUACUGGACUUUAACUGACGCUCAAGCACGAAAGCGUGGGGAGCAAACAGG